rnacentral:rRNA from 1 species
GAUCCUGGCUCAGGAUGAACGCUGGCGGCGUGCCUAACACAUGCAAGUCGAACGAAGCAUUUUGAAUGAAGUUUUCGGAUGGAUUUUAAGAUGACUGAGUGGCGGACGGGUGAGUAACACGUGGAUAACCUGCCUCACACUGGGGGACAACAGUUAGAAAUGACUGCUAAUACCGCAUAAGCGCACAGUACCGCAUGGUACAGUGUGAAAAACUCCGGUGGUGUGAGAUGGAUCCG